CGAGUCCUGAUGUGUACGUUCUUUUACUAUCUGUUUUGACCUAACAUUUCUUAAUCCGGGAGUUCGGAGUUUUUAAGUAGCGUAAAUGCCUUAUACGAGGACUUACUAAACUUAGAAUAGAACACCCACCUGCAGGGAGCAGGUUCAAAACAUUUAGAUCCAUGUGACGGCACGAUUGGGACCCGU
rnacentral:other from 1 species